CCUAUUUGAAAGAAACAAAAUUUUAUUUAUUUAUGGAUGACAUACUGUAUAUAUGGAAAAUCCCAGGGAGGCUAUAAAAAAGGAUAGUAGAAGUAGUAAGCUUAGCAAGGUCUCAGGAUACAAGGUCAAUAUAAAAUAUCAAUUGUAUUUUACAUUUUAAUAACAAAAGAUUGGAAAUUGAAAUAAAAUACCAUUGUUUAAAUACAAUAGCAUCAAAAAAUGUGAAAGAAGUAGGGAUAAUUUUAACAAAAUAUGUGCAAGAACUGUACAUUGAAAACUACAAAAUAUUACUGAGUAAAAUUAAAGCAGAUCUAAAUAAAUGGAGAGAUAUGCCAUGUUUAUGGAUUGGAGGACUCAACAUUGUUAAUGAUAUCAAUUAUUUCCAGGCUGAUCUAUUAAGCCAAUGCUAUCUCAAUAAAAAUUAACGCAGACUUUUUACUUCUUUUGGUGCAGAUUAAAAAGUUCUUUAGAAAUGCGAAGAAGCUAGAAUGGCCAAAUAGUUUUAACAUACGUGAAUAAAGUUAGAGGACUUACACUACCUGAUUUCAAGAUUUACUAUAAAACUACAAAAAUCAAGAGAGUGCAAUAUUGAAAUUAGGUUAGACAAAAAUUCAUGAACAGAAUAGAGGGUCCAGAAACCAGCCCAUACACAUAAUCAGUUAAUUUUAUACAAAGGUACUGAUGUGAAAGGGAAAAGACAGUCUCUUCAGCAAAUGAUUUAUAUCCACGUGCAAAAACAAAACCUCAACCCUUAACUUGCACCAUACACAAAAAUUAACUUGGAAAAAAAGCGAUCAUAAACCUAAAUGUAUGAGUUAAUCUUUAAAGUUUCUAGAAGAAAACAUAGGGAAAAAAAUAUUUGUGACUUUGACUUAAGCAAAGAUUUCUUGGAGAGGAAGCAAAAAAUAUAAACCAUAAAAGAAAAAAUAGAUAAAUUGGAUCUCAACAAAAUUAAAACUUUUUCUCUUUAAAAGACAGUUAAGAAUAUUAACUAUCUCAUAGUUAAGAAAAUUAAAUAUCCUAUAGGCUGGGAGAAAAUUUUGCAAACCAUAUGCUACAUCCAGAAUAAAGACUCCUUACAACUUUCUUUGUUUUGAUACAAGGUCUCCCUCUGUCAUCCAGGCUGGAAUGCAGUGGCGGGAUCACAGCUCACUGCAGCCUUAACCCCCAGCCUCAAGCGAUCCUCCCACUUCAGCAUCCCCACCACUCCCACCAGUAGCUGAAACUACAGGUGUGCACCACCAUGCCUGGCUAAUUUUUUUUGUAUUUUUUGUAGGGAUGUGGUUUUACCAUGUUGCCCAAGCUGGUGUUGAACUCCUGGGCUCAAGCCAUCUUCCUGCCUUGGCCUCCCAAAGUGCUGGGAUUAUAGGUGUGAGCCACCACACCUAGCCUAUAACUUAGUAAGAUCAUUGAUUUAAAAUGGACAAAAGAUUUGAACAGAUACUUUACAAAAGAAUAUGUAUAAAUGGCAAAUAAGUAUGAAAAUAUGCUCAAUAUCAUUAGGAAAAUACAAAUUAUAACCACUUAUUAGAAUGACUAAUAUGACAACACCAAGUGUUGGUAGUAAGGAUUGGGAAACACUGGAACUCAUAUACUGUUGGUGGCAACGUAAAACAGUAGAACCACUUCAGAAGAGUUUGGAGGCCUCCUUCUAAGUUAAACACGUGCUUACACAUAACCCAGAAAUCCUACUCCUAAGGUAUUUACCCCAGAUAAAUGAAGAUAUAUGUCCACAUGAAGGCUUGUGCACAAAUGUUUAUAGUAGCUGUAUCCAUAAUACACCCAAACUGAAAACAACAUGAAUGUACAUUAACAAUGGUAAAUAAAAAAAUUGUGAAAUACUCAUACAAUGAAAUCCUAGGCAGUAGUAAAAAGGAAUGAACUACUAUCACAUAAUAUGGAUGAAUCUCAAAACAUGCUAAGCAAAAGAAGCCAGACACAAAAAAGUACAUAUGGAUGAUUCCAUUUACGUGAAACUCUAGAAAAGAUGAAUCUAAUCUUUAGGGACAGAAGCAGAUGAGUGGUUGGAGUGAAUGCGUGUAUGGGGGAUUGGAUGGGGAGGGGCACAAAAGGAACUAUUUUGGGAGAUGGAAAUGUUCUAUAUCUUGAUGUGGUGGUGGUGACAUGGGUAUAUACAUUUGUUAAGACUUAUAGAACUGUACACUUAAAAUGCAUUUUAUUUUACAUAAAAUAUACAUAUAACUUUAUUGUACAUAAAUUAUACUUAAUAAAGUUAACUUAAAUGAAAAAAAAGAGUGACUGAACCAUUUCAUUUUUUCCUCUGAAAAUAUUCUUUCCUUUUGGACUUCCAAAGGCAACUCCGCAAAUUCCUUUAUCAGUAAAUGAGUGAAUUAGAAUAGAUGAUGUCAUUCGUUCAUUCAAUAAAUAUUUACUAAAGUCUAUUAUGGGGCAAACACAAUGCUAGAUUCUAGAGAUAUAUGGCUGAAAAGGAAUCCAAUUUUGUCCUCAAGGAGUCACAGUCUAGUGGGAGUGAAAGACAAGCUAACUUGAUUAUAAUACAUCUUAUGUAUAUGUAGGGGUUAAGGAUUCUUAAGAGAAGCAGUCUUCCCUGAUGAUGCAAUACCUGAGGUGGGUUUUGAUGUACAAGUCCGGUGUGGUCACUCACGCCUGUAAUCCCAGCACUUUGGAAGGCUGAGGCGGGUGGAUCACUUGAGGUCAGGAGUUUGAGACCUGGUUGGCCAACGUAGUGAAAACCUGUCUCUACUAAAAAUACAAAAACUUAGCCAGGUGUUAUGGCGCAUGCCUGUAGUCCCAGCUAUUUGGGAGGCUGAGGCAGGAGAAUCACUUGAACCCAGGAGGUGGAGGUUGCAGUGAGCUGAGAUCGCAUCACUGCACUCCAGCCUGGGUGACAGAGCCAGACUGCGUCAAAAAAAAAAAAAAUAGCAUGGGUAAGGCAGCCCGAUGACCCUCAGUGCAGUGUUUUAACAAGCAGCCAAGAGCACAGCUUGGCAGAGAGGGGUCUGCGGAAGCAGCAAAGUGGGUGGUUGUCAACCAGGUCUGGCUUUGGGAUUCAGAUUCAGAUCUACUGCCUAGAGCCACCUGUUUCAAAUGAAAGGAUCUGCUAUGGCAUGGUCCAUUCAUCUUUACAGACAUAGUCUUAAACUAUCAGGUUAAAUGAUAGAAAUGCUAAUGAAGUUGUGCAUUCUUC
rnacentral:lncRNA from 1 species